rnacentral:rRNA from 1 species
UAUCCUGACCGUGCUAAGGUAGCAUAUAAUAUACCCUUUAAUUGUGGGAUGGAAUGGACGGACAAACGAAAGUUAAGCUGUUUCUUAAAUACAAAUAUAAAUUAUUCUUCAGGUGAAGAACCCUGAAUUAAAUUAAAAGACAAGAAGACCCUGUAGAGCUUCACCUAAUAAACACAGAGAAAAAACAAAUGUAUUUUUUUCUAUGUAUAAUAAAGGUUUAACUGGGGCGGUUAGAGAAUAAUAAACUUCUACUUCAUAUUACAAGGCUAACCUGCCUAACAAUAAACAAAUACAAAUUCAAAGAACAAAGCUACCUCAGGGAUAACAGUCUAAUCUUUCCUGAGAGUACCUAUUGAAGGAAAUGUUUGGCACCUCG